CGUGAAGGAUGAAGGUCCUCUGGAUUGUAAACUUCUUUUAUCUGGGAAAAAUGCGCUCAUUCUUGAGAUUUGACGGUACCAGAUGAAUAAGCACCGGCUAACUCCGUGCCAGCAGCCGCGGUAAUACGGAGGGUGCGGGCGUUAUCCGGAUUCACUGGGUUUAAAGGGUGCGUAGGUGGGUCUGUAAGUCAGUGGUGAAAUCUCCGAGCUUAACUCGGAAACUGCCAUUGAUACUAUAUGUCUUGAAUAUUCUGGAGGUAAGCGGAAUAUGUCAUGUAGCGGUGAAAUGCUUAGAUAUGACAUAGAACACCAAUUGCGAAGGCAGCUUACUACGCGAGUAUUGACACUGAGGCACGAAAGCGUGGGGAUCAAACAGGAUUAGAUACCCUGGUAGUCCACGCCCUAAACGAUGAAUACUCGACAUCAGCGAUACACUGUUGGUGUCUGAGCGAAAGCAUUAAGUAUCCCACCUGGGAAGUACGACCGCAAGGUUGAAACUCAAAGGAAUUGACGG
rnacentral:rRNA from 1 species